CUCUAUUGAGUUUGAUCCUGGCUCAGAUUGAACGCUGGCGGCAUGCCUUACACAUGCAAGUCGAACGGCAGCACGGGUGCUUGCACCUGGUGGCGAGUGGCGAACGGGUGAGUAAUACAUCGGAACAUGUCCUGUAGUGGGGGAUAGCCCGGCGAAAGCCGGAUUAAUACCGCAUACGAUCUACGGAUGAAAGCGGGGGACCUUCGGGCCUCGCGCUAUAGGGUUGGCCGAUGGCUGAUUAGCUAGUUGGUGGGGUAAAGGCCUACCAAGGCGACGAUCAGUAGCUGGUCUGAGAGGACGACCAGCCACACUGGGACUGAGACACGGCCCAGACUCCUACGGGAGGCAGCAGUGGGGAAUUUUGGACAAUGGGCGAAAGCCUGAUCCAGCAAUGCCGCGUGUGUGAAGAAGGCCUUCGGGUUGUAAAGCACUUUUGUCCGGAAAGAAAUCCUUGGCUCUAAUACAGUCGGGGGAUGACGGUACCGGAAGAAUAAGCACCGGCUAACUACGUGCCAGCAGCCGCGGUAAUACGUAGGGUGCGAGCGUUAAUCGGAAUUACUGGGCGUAAAGCGUGCGCAGGCGGUUUGCUAAGACCGAUGUGAAAUCCCCGGGCUCAACCUGGGAACUGCAUUGGUGACUGGCANGCUAGAGUAUGGCAGAGGGGGGUAGAAUUCCACGUGUAGCAGUGAAAUGCGUAGAGAUGUGGAGGAAUACCGAUGGCGAAGGCAGCCCCCUGGGCCAAUACUGACGCUCAUGCACGAAAGCGUGGGGAGCAAACAGGAUUAGAUAUCCUGGUAGUCCACGCCCUAAACGAUGUCAACUAGUUGUUGGGGAUUCAUUUCCUUAGUAACGUAGCUAACGCGUGAAGUUGACCGCCUGGGGAGUACGGUCGCAAGAUUAAAACUCAAAGGAGUUGACGGGGACCCGCACAAGCGGUGGAUGAUGUGGAUUAAUUCGAUGCAACGCGAAAAACCUUACCUACCCUUGACAUGGUCGGAAUCCCGCUGAGAGGUGGGAGUGCUCGAAAGAGAACCGGCGCACAGGUGCUGCAUGGCUGUCGUCAGCUCGUGUCGUGAGAUGUUGGGUUAAGUCCCGCAACGAGCGCAACCCUUGUCCUUAGUUGCUACGCAAGAGCACUCUAAGGAGACUGCCGGUGACAAACCGGAGGAAGGUGGGGAUGACGUCAAGUCCUCAUGGCCCUUAUGGGUAGGGCUUCACACGUCAUACAAUGGUCGGAACAGAGGGUUGCCAACCCGCGAGGGGGAGCUAAUCCCAGAAAACCGAUCGUAGUCCGGAUUGCACUCUGCAACUCGAGUGCAUGAAGCUGGAAUCGCUAGUAAUCGCGGAUCAGCAUGCCGCGGUGAAUACGUUCCCGGGUCUUGUACACACCGCCCGUCACACCAUGGGAGUGGGUUUUACCAGAAGUGGCUAGUCUAACCGCAAGGAGGACGGUCACCACGGUAGGAUUCAUGACUGGGGUGAAGUCGUAACAAGGUA
rnacentral:rRNA from 1 species